rnacentral:lncRNA from 1 species
GCUAGAGUGUCAGCCAAUCAGAAAAGAUUAGCCAGAACUAUACAAAAAACUGUUAUCGGAUGACUUCGCUGAAAUGUCAACAAUAAAAGAUGAUUUCUCGUUUUAAUAUUUUACCGUGAAUUUCGCCGUCAAAUAAUUUAUUGGAAGUUAAUAAAAGUAAUCAAAUCAUGUUAUUAACAAAUAAAAAAAAUCCUUUUUUACAUAAUUAGAUAUAGGAAGAUGUGGUGGUCUACUUCAAAUCAUCGUAGGUCUGUCUGCAUGUACAUUUCUUCAUGCAUGUAUAUUUCUUCGUCUGCUUUGAAAAUACAUAAUAUAUUCAACCGUUCACUUCAUUUUGAUACGUGGAAACACCAAAUUACAGCUUAUCAAUAGUGAAAAUGGUUUUCGCCAUAUUUGAACACGCCGGAUGGUCAGAUGAGACAUCUUGUUUCAAAUGAAUGAACUACCUGAGCGACUACAUAUAUAUAUCAAAAAUAAGCCUACGCCAAAAAAAAAUAGUACCACAAAAGAAAAUGCAUUAUCAUCGUAAAAGAUACUUUUUUUUUACUGAAAUUUAAAUUAAAUGAUAUUCGAAAAUACAAAUAAUAGCGAUAAAUAGAUUAUUUAUGUUUUUUAAACUCGAUGCAUUUUCUCAUUCUCAUCUCAUCUCAGGGCUCCGCCCUUCGAUGAGAUGAGAAUGAGAAAAUGCAUCUCGUUUAAAAAACAUAAAUAAUCUAUAAAUAUUUCACCAGAGCAAAUUUGGAUUAUAAAAAUAUCGCUUGCUCUAGAUGAAAUUGACAAGUCACAAACAUGAGGGUUGGGUUCAUUUAUUUUACUAUAGGAAAAAUAAACUUUUGUAUUUUGUUAUUGAGAGUAAAAAUGUUCAAAUAAAACCAUUCAGUUUAAUGUUGUUAUGUUACAUUGAGUACUUAGAUCCUCUGAUUGAGUUUGUACAUAUCAAUAACUCGAUGGUUUUCUAAUAAAAAAACAAACUAUUAAGAC